UACGUAGGGUGCGAGCGUUGUCCGGAAUUACAGGGCGUAAAGCGUGCGCAGGCGGUUUUGUAAGCCAGAUGUGAAAUCCCCGGGCUUAACCUGGGAAUGGCAUUUGGGACUGCAAGGCUGGAGUUUGGCAGAGGAGACUGGAAUUCCCGGUGUAGCAGUGAAAUGCGUAGAUAUCGGGAGGAAUACCGAUGGCGAAGGCAGGUCUCUGGGCUAUAACUGACGCUCAUGCACGAAAGCGUGGGGAGCAAACAGG
rnacentral:rRNA from 1 species